rnacentral:rRNA from 1 species
UACGAAGGGGGCUAGCGUUGCUCGGAAUCACUGGGCGUAAAGGGCGCGUAGGCGGCCGGCCAAGUCGGGGGUGAAAGCCUGUGGCUCAACCACAGAAUGGCCCUCGAUACUGGACGGCUCGAGACCGGAAGAGGUUGGUGGAAUUGCGAGUGUAGAGGUGAAAUUCGUAGAUAUUCGCAAGAACACCCGUGGCGAAGGCG